GCGAUGACGAUGAUAAAGUCUAAAUCUCAGAUCCAGCGCAAGCGGAAAAAAGGAGAAAAUGGAAGAAAAAAAACCCCCUAAUUUUUCUCGUCUCCUCUGCGUCGAUCUUGUCUGCGGCCAUGGCGGGGCAGCGAAAGCUGCAGCCAAUCGUCCGUACAGAGGGAGAUCAGAGGAGGGGGAGGAUCCAUUAUCAUGAUAGAUUAAAGAUCCAUGUGCAUAAGGGGCAUCAAAAUGAAGAAAUAGCUUGAGCUCGAGAAAGAGGAGAUCAAAAGCCAGAGGUCGAGCUCGAGAAAGAGGGGAGAGAUGAUCGGAAGCUAGAGGGAGUUUGAAGGAGGAAGACUCGAGCGAGAGAAUGGGUUUGGGGGCGGGAACGAAGGACGAAGACUUAGAAAUUUUCCGAGUUCUAGCGAUCACGAGAAAAGUGAAAUGGGGCGGAAAUGUGGUUAGGGUGUUUGUUUAAUAUUUUAAUAAUAUGGUGUCAGGUUUCUGGGUGUUUUCAGCUUAUUUUGAGUGAAAAAUAAUUUCUGUAAAAUUGUACAGUUUUCUAUACUUUACAGAAAACUUUUCUGUAAAUUUAAUGUUGAACCAAAUACAAUUUAUGGAAAUUUUGAGAA